GCUCCUGUGGUGCAAUGGGUUAGUGCAUCUGGCUGUUAACCAGAAGGUUGAUGGUUCUAGCCCACUCGAGGAUGGCC